rfam:Dipodomys ordii contig_30289, whole genome shotgun sequence.
GGGAAGGUGGCUCAGUGGUAGAGUGCUUGUCUUGCAUGCAUGAGACCCUGGGUUCAAUUACUCAGCACUGCCU